AUCAGUGGAAGUAGGUAUGACAUGAUAAUUUGAUGGAUCCCCACCAGCCAGUGAGGAGGGUGAGUAACAUGAUGGAGAGAAGAAAAUGAAGGAUGAUGCCAUCUGUGAGUGGCCCUUAGAAGAAGUUCCUGCUCUGUGAUGGUAAUGAAGAAGAG